rnacentral:lncRNA from 1 species
GAAAACACACCAGACGACUACAAGCCUUCAACGCCAAAGAUGACCACCAGCAAAGAAAAUAUCGACGAUUAUCGAAUCAUUCAAGCGUCAAUUCCAGAGCCAAAUCAGAGAAACUCUAUUCUCCACCAUUUUCCGAUGAAACCCACCUCUAACAACUGUAUUAAAGGUAUCGGGUUUCAUCAGCUUCAUCUCUCCGACACACACCGGAUCACGUCCAGAUCAUGCGUAUAAAACGCAUACCCCUUCAACACCAUCGCCUCUUCCAGCGAUUGCCUUCCUCAUCUUCACUUCCUUUUUUCACCACCCGUUGUGUCACACCCAACAGAGAAAAGGGGCGAACCACCAAAGCCGGCGGCGCGAGGUUGAAUAAACCUCCACUCCCCGGAGUCAAACAC